GACGAACGCUGGCGGCGUGCUUAACACAUGCAAGUCGAGCGGUAAGGCCCUUUCGGGUACACGAGCGGCGAACGGGUGAGUAACACGUGGGUGACCUGCCCUCAGCUCUGGGAUAAGCCUGGGAAACUGGGUCUAAUACUGGAUAUGACUCCACGGUGCAUGUCGUGGGGUGGAAAGCCUUGUGCGGCUGAGGAUGGGCCCGCGGCCUAUCAGCUUGUUGGUGGGGUGANGGCCUACCAAGGCGACGACGGGUAGCCGGCCUGAGAGGGCGACCGGCCACACUGGGACUGAGACACGGCCCAGACUCCUACGGGAGGCAGCAGUGGGGAAUCUUGCGCAAUGGGCGAAAGCCUGACGCAGCGACGCCGCGUGAGGGAUGACGGCCU
rnacentral:rRNA from 1 species